rnacentral:rRNA from 1 species
CAGUAGCCGCGGGAAUACGAAGGGGGCUAGCGUUGUUCGGAUUAACUGGGCGUAAAGGGCGCGUAGGCGGGUUUUUAAGUCAGAGGUGAAAUCCCAAGGCUCAACCUUGGAACUGCCUUUGAUACUGGAAGUCUUGAGUCCGGGAGAGGUGAGUGGAACUGCGAGUGUAGAGGUGAAAUUCGUAGAUAUUCGCAAGAACACCAGUGGCGAAGGCGGCUCACUGGCCCGGUACUGACGCUGAGGCGCGAAAGCGUGGGGAGCAAACAGGAUUAGAGACCCCCGUAGUCCAUGUCUCUUAUAC